rnacentral:rRNA from 1 species
UGAGAGGUUGGCCCGCAACAUCGGGACUGAGACACUGCCCGGACCUCCACGGAGGGCUGCAGUAACGAAUAUUGGGCAAUGAGCGAAAGCUUGACCCAGCGACGCCGCGUGUAGGAUGAAGUCUUUCGGGAUGUAAACUACUGUCAGGGGGACGAAAGUGCGCUUCGGUGCAUUGAUCGAACCCAGAGGAAGUCACGGCUAACUUCGUGCCAGCAGCCGCGGUAAGACAAAGGUGGCAAGCGUUGUUCGGUAUUACUGGGCUUAAAGCGUGUGUAGGCGGAAAUGUAAGCGUUUUGUGAAAUCCCUCGGCUUAACCGAGGAAUUGCUUGACGAACUGCAUUUCUUGAGGCAGGUAGGGGUGCGCAGAACUCUUGGUGGAGCGGUGGAAUGCGUAGAUAUCAAGAGGAAUGCCGGUGGAGAAGUCGGUGCACUGGGCCUGACCUGACGCUGAGACACGAAAGCGUGGGGAGCGAACGGGAUUAGAUACCCCGGUAGUCCACGCCGUAAACGAUGCCUACUAGGUUGUGGUGGUUCUGACGCCAGCACAGCCGAAGCUAAAGUGUUAAGUAGGCCGCCUGGGGAGUACGGUCGCAAGGCUAAAACUCAAAGGAAUUGACGGGGGCUCACACAAGCGGUGGAGCAUGUGGAUUAAUUCGAAACAACGCGCGGAACCUUACCAGGGUUUGACAUGCUUGGAUGCCGCCGAGGAAACUCGGUUUGGCUGCCUUCGGGUGAAACUUGCACAGGUGCUGCAUGGCUGUCGUCAGCUCGUGUCGUGAGAUGUCGGGUUAAGUCCCUUAACGAGCGAAACCCUUGCCGCUAGUUGCCAGCGAGUCAUGUCGGGGACUCUAGCGGGACUGCCGGUGUUAAACCGGAGGAAGGUGGGGAUGACGUCAAGUCAUCAUGGCCUUUAUGCCCUGGGCUUCACACGUGCUACAAUGGUCAGAACAGAGCGACGCAAGACCGUGAGGUGGAGCAAAUCGCAAAAAUCUGGCCCCAGUUCGGAUUGCAGGCUGGCAACUCGCCUGCAUGAAGUUGGAAUCGCUAGUAAUCGCGUAUCAGCGAUGACGCGGUGAAUGUGUUCCUGAGCCUUGUACACACCGCCCGUCAAGUGAUGGGAGUUGGGAGUACCCGAAGUCGUCUUGCUAACCCGCAAGGGAGGCGGAUGCCGACGGUAAGCCCGAUGACUGGCACUAAGUCGGAACAAGGUA